UACGAAGGGUGGAAGCGUUAUUCGGAAUUACUGGGCGUAAAGCGCGUGUAGGUGGUCUGUUAAGUUGGAUGUGAAAGCCCCGGGCUCAACCUGGGAAUUGCAUCCAAAACUGGCAAGCUAGAGUAUGGUAGAGGGCGGUGGAAUUUCCUGUGUAGCGGUGAAAUGCGUAGAUAUAGGAAGGAACACCAGUGGCGAAGGCGACCACCUGGGCUAAUACUGACACUGAGGUGCGAAAGCGUGGGGAGCAAACAGG
rnacentral:misc_RNA from 1 species